UACAUAGGGUGCGAGCGUUGUUCGGAAUUACUGGGCGUAAAGGGCGCGCAGGCGGAAUAGUAAGUCGGAGGUGAAAGCCCGGGGCUCAACCCCGGAGGGUCUUUCGAAACUGCUAAUCUAGAGAGGGUCAGGGGCCGGCAGAAUUCCUGGUGUAGAGGUGAAAUUCGUAGAUAUCAGGAGGAAUACCGGUGGCGAAGGCGGCCGGCUGGGGCCACUCUGACGCUGAGGCGCGAAAGCGUGGGGAGCAAAC
rnacentral:rRNA from 1 species